UGGGGAAUAUUGCACAAUGGGCGCAAGCCUGAUGCAGCCAUGCCGCGUGUGUGAAGAAGGCCUUCGGGUUGUAAAGCACUUUCAGCGAGGAGGAAGGUGGUGAGCUUAAUACGCUCAUCAAUUGACGUUACUCGCAGAAGAAGCACCGGCUAACUCCGUGCCAGCAGCCGCGGUAAUACGGAGGGUGCAAGCGUUAAUCGGAAUUACUGGGCGUAAAGCGCACGCAGGCGGUUUGUUAAGUCAGAUGUGAAAUCCCCGGGCUCAACCUGGGAACUGCAUUUGAAACUGGCAAGCUAGAGUCUCGUAGAGGGGGGUAGAAUUCCAGGUGUAGCGGUGAAAUGCGUAGAGAUCUGGAGGAAUACCGGUGGCGAAGGCGGCCCCCUGGACGAAGACUGACGCUCAGGUGCGAAAAGCGUGGGGCAGCAAACAGGAUUAGAUACCCUGGUAGUCCACGCUGUAAACGAUGUCGAUUUUGGAGGUUGUGCCCUUGAGGCGUGGCUUCCGGAGCUAACGCGUUAAAUCGACCGCCUGGGGAGUACGGCCGCAAGGUU
rnacentral:rRNA from 1 species